rnacentral:lncRNA from 1 species
AGAAGAGGAGGGAAGAAGGAAUGGUCACAAGUGAGGGCUGGUUCUUGUCAGCUGUGACAAAGUGGUACAUGUAGGUAAUUCUAAGCCAAGGAUUGUUAUAUACCACAGAAGAAGUGUGAUACAGAGUGGAAAAGGCAGUAAAAUGGAAACUGAGACAUUGAGUUAGUUACUGCAUGAAAUCUUGAUUGGGGAACCACUACACAACCAGCUGCAGUGAAGGGAAGCUUUGCAGCACCUUACACAAGGUAUUGCAGGGAAUGUAAAUAAAGGUAAUUACCCUCCACUG